AAUGAUUUGUUUUUAUUUCAUCGGUGUUUUGCCUGCAUGUACAUUUGUGUGAGGGUGUCAGAUCCCCUCAGACUGAAGCUGCAGACACUUGUGAACACCCAUGGAGAUACUAAGAACUGAAGAGCAGCUAGUACUCUUAACUGCUGAGCCAUCUCUCCAGCCCCCAGAAGAGAUUUCUUAACAUACAGCAAUGAGCCUGUUUAAACAGCGUGAUGGCCCAGUCUAUACAUAUUUUAGGCCUAUGGGAUAGAUGAGGUGUGUCGGUUUCUAUACAGGGAACAGUCUAGGCACCAAACACAUCUGGAGGUGAUCUGAGGCAGAUUCCUGCAAAGGAUACGACAGCCCACUUCAAAUACGUUGUUGGUGCCAAUAAUCAUAGGUUUGGGCUCUGUAUCUUCAGUGUCUGGGAUGAUGUUAUCUGGAUGACUAUAAAGAGAAGAGACGAGAAUCACCAAAGGCCAGCGACACGGUAAGCAGCUGCCAUCCCCUUUCAGAAUCUGAUGUCUGAGUUCUACAAAGUGAGUUCCAGGACAGCCAGGGCUACAGAGAGAUCCUGUCUCAGAGAGAGAGAGAGAACUGGGAUGGGGAAUCUAUCAGACCUUCUGGAGUUGAAGCCACUGGUAGGUGCAAGCUGCCCUGUGUGAGUGAAGAGACAGGAACUCAAGGACUCCACAAGAACAGCAAGAGGUGCUAACUGCCGAGCUAUUUCUCUAGCCUUCCCUUAUUUCUUAAAUUCUAACUUCAGAGGACAUUUCCCAGUGUAGGGGAAUGCCAGGGCAGGAAGGCAGGAGUGGGUGGGUGGGGGAGCACCCUUAUAGAGACAGGGGAAGGGGGGGAUGGAAGAGGGGGUUUCUGGAGGGGAGACCUGGAGAGGGGAUCACAUUUGAAAUGU
rnacentral:lncRNA from 1 species